rnacentral:rRNA from 1 species
GUCUUUUAGAUUUUAAUUUAAAGUUGGGCCUGCUCUAUGAUUUAGUUAAAUGGCUGCAAUAAUUUAAUUGUACUAAGGUAGCAUAAUCAUUUGUUUUUUAAUUGAAAACUGGUAUGAAUGGUUUGAUGAAAAAUUUUUUUUAUUAAUUUGAUUUUUUGAAUUUUAUUUUAAGUAAAAAAUCUUAAAUUUUUUUAUGGGACGAGAAGACCCUUUAGAAUUUUAUUUAACUUAAUUUAUUUAUUUUUGUUUUAUUAUUAUUUAUUUUUAAGUAUUAAUUUUGUUGGGGUGAUUAAGGAAUUUUAUUAACUUUUUUUUGAUUUUUCAUUAAUUUUUGUUUUUUUGAUCCAUUUUUUGAUUAUAAGUUUAAAUUACCUAAGGGAUAACAGCGUUAUUUAUUUGGAGAGUUCUUAUUGAUAAUUAAGUUUGCGA